CUUUAAGAUCAUCAAGUCCAACUGUAAUUUUGCUGGUAUGACAAGUUUGCGUGGUUCCUGCUGAGAAAAUUAAUUACUUGGGAAUCAAGAUGUAUAAAGUCACUCAUGACAAAGAAACAACAGCAUUUUAAACAAAAAAUUGCAGGUGAUCCCUGUGCCAAAAACUCCUGUCAGAGCUGGUAGCAGCAAACAAAUCAGUGAUGUGCAGGUUUCUUAACUUUAUAGUUAAUUGUUCAGACUAAAACGAAAAUAAGCACAUGAAAGACUGUAAUAAAGUAGUACUAAUACUUAUAAAGAUCAGAGCAUAUGCAUAUCUUCCUCUAUUUUGCUUUUCUUUGUAAUUUAAGAUGUUAGUUUAUUGCUAUAAAAUGAUCUAAAAUCAAA